AUACGUAGGUGGCAAGCGUUGUCCGGAUUUAUUGGGCGUAAAGCGAGCGCAGGCGGUUUCUUAAGUCUGAUGUGAAAGCCCCCGGCUCAACCGGGGAGGGUCAUUGGAAACUGGGAGACUUGAGUGCAGAAGAGGAGAGUGGAAUUCCCUGUGUAGCGGUGAAAUGCGGAGAUAUAUGGAGGAACACCAGUGGCGAAGGCGGCUCUCUGGUCUGUAACUGACGCUGAGGCUCGAAAGCGUGGGGAGCAAACAGGAUUAGAUCCCCUGGUGGUCCACGCCGUAAACGAUGAGUGCUAAGUGUUGGAGGGUUUCCGCCCUUCAGUGCUGCAGCUAACGCAUUAAGCACUCCGCCUGGGGAGUACGACCGCAAGGUUGAAACUCAAAGGAAUUGACGG
rnacentral:rRNA from 1 species